AACGAACGCUGGCGGCAUGCCUAACACAUGCAAGUCGAACGAGACCGUCCGGUCUAGUUGGGCAGGUGUGCUUAACGCGGGGGAACCUGCCCUUAGGUUCGGUAUAACUCCCCGAGAGGUGUCCUAAUACCGGAGAAUGUCUUCCGACCAAAGAGUUAUCGCCUUUGGAUGGGCCCGCGUUGGUUUGGCUAGUUGGUAGGGUAAAAGCCUGCCAAGGCCACGAUCCAUAGCUGGUCUGAUAGGAUGACAAGCCACAAUGGGACUGAGACCCGGCCCAGACUCCUACGGGAGGCAGCAGUGGGGAAUAUUAGGCACUGGGCGAUAGCCUGAUACAGCAAUGCCGGGUGAGUGAUGCAGGCCUUAGGAUUGUAAAGCUCUUUUACACGGGAUGAUAAUGACGGUACCGGGAGAAGAAGCUCCGGCUAACUCCGUG
rnacentral:rRNA from 1 species